rnacentral:rRNA from 1 species
UACCAGCACCCCGAGUGGUCGGGACGAUUAUUGGGCCUAAAGCAUCCGUAGCCGGUCAUGCAAGUCUUCCGUUAAAUCCAGCCGCUCAACGGUUGGGCUGCGGAGGAUACUACGUGGCUAGGAGGCGGGAGAGGCAAGCGGUAGCUCAGUGGGUAGGGGUAAAAUCCUCUGAUCCAUUGAAGACCACCAGUGGCGAAGGCGGCUUGCCAGAACGCGCUCGACGGUGAGGGAUGAAAGCUGGGGGAGCAAACCGG